rnacentral:rRNA from 1 species
GGGGAAUUUUGGACAAUGGGCGCAAGCCUGAUCCAGCAAUGCCGCGUGCAGGAUGAAGGCCUUCGGGUUGUAAACUGCUUUUGUACAGAACGAAAAGCUCUUCUCUAAUACAGAGGGGUCAUGACGGUACUGUAAGAAUAAGCACCGGCUAACUACGUGCCAGCAGCCGCGGUAAUACGUAGGGCGCGAGCGUUAAUCGGAAUUACUGGGCGUAAAGCGUGCGCAGGCGGUUUUGUAAGACAGAGGUGAAAUCCCCGGGCUCAACCUGGGAACUGCCUUUGUGACUGCAAGGCUAGAGUACGGCAGAGGGGGAUGGAAUUCCGCGUGUAGCAGUGAAAUGCGUAGAUAUGCGGAGGAACACCGAUGGCGAAGGCAGUCCCCUGGGCCUGUACUGACGCUCAUGCACGAAAGCGUGGGGAGCAAAC